GAUGAACGCUAGCGGGAGGCUUAAUACAUGCAAGUCGAGCGGCAAGGUCUUCGGACCCUAGAGCGGCGCACGGGUGAGUAACGCGUACGCAAUCUGCCCUUCAGUGAGGAAUAGCCCUGGGAAACUGGGAUUAAUACCUCAUAAUAUUAUUUAAUCGCAUGGUUAGAUAAUUAAAGUUCUGGCGCUGAAGGAUGAGCGUGCGUCUGAUUAGCUAGUUGGUAGGGUAACGGCCGACCAAGGCUACGAUCAGUAGGGGGCGUGAGAGCGUGACCCCCCACACGGUUACUGAGACACGGACCCGACUCCUACGGGAGGCAGCAGUAAGGAAUAUUGGGCAAUGGAGGCAACUCUGACCCAGCCAUCCCGCGUGAAGGAUUAAGGCCCUAUGGGUUGUAAACUUCUUUUGUUUGGGAAGAAAUCUGGACAUUUAUGUGCAGUUGACGGUACCUUACGAAUAAGCACCGGCUAACUCCGUGCCAGCCGCCGCUGUAACAC
rnacentral:rRNA from 1 species